GACAGAAUCUCCCUCCAUUAGGACCAGUUAUUGUUGCACUAAUAAAACGCCUUCACUGCUGUGUGUGCACUUGGAAGGGAUAAAUGGAGAGCGCAAAUUCAGGUCACAUCACUUUCACUUUCACUUUACAAUAGCCUACACCUCCUACCACGGUCUGUAAGGGGCUGGGCUAUUUAUACUGAUAAACGUAGGUCCUCCUUAAGUGUCACAUAUGUGAGAAACUGCGGUUCUCAGCUGUCUCAUUGUUAAAGUUGUGUGUGUUUUUGUGAGACAUUCGAAGUUGUGGCGACUGGGGGCGGCUCAUGAAUGUCGAGCACAGUGGAGAUUAGGAACCAAAUAUCUAGCCUAAAUAAUCUCCAUUGAUCAUAUUGUAUUAGGAAUCUACACAGCUCUACAAAAACAGACGAUGUUACUGCUGUUUCUCAUCUCAUUGCUUUUGGACGGCGCUUCUGGUGCAGAAUCAGAUGAGACAGUGACCGUGAUGGAGGGAGAUUCUGUUACUCUACACACCAAUCUUACUGAAGUACUGAACGAUGAUACGAUACUGUGGCUGUUUGGACCUAAAGACUCUGUCAUAUCUCAAAUAACAAGAAAGAGGAACCUAACUUCAUUUUUUAUAACCGAUGACAGGAGAUUCAGAGACAGAUUGCAGGUGGACCAAAAGACUGGAUCGCUCACCAUCAGAAACACCAGAAUCAGACACUCUGGACAAUAUAAACUCAGCAUCUCUAGUGACAAGAUUACCAUGAAGAUAUUUAACGUCACUGUCAUUGGCGUGGUUGUUGAGAUGGAUGGAGUGAAGUCAGUGUCGGUGACAGAGGGAGAUUCUGUCAUUCUACAGAGUGAUGUUUCUGAAGUACAGAGAGACGUUCUGAUCGUGUGGAGGUUUGGAGAUAAAGGCAUCCUCCUAGCUAAAAUCGAUGUGGAAAAUAAAGAGACCUCUUUAAACGAUGCUGAUGGGAGAUUCAGAGACAGACUGAAGCUGGAUCUGAAUGGAUCUCUGACCAUCAAGAACGCCAGAACCACAGACUCCGGACUUUAUGAACUACAGGUCAGAGGCCGUGAGAGCUCACAGCAAUUCCAUCUUUCAGUAAAUGCUGUUCCAGAUCCGGGUCUGUCUCCAGGUCUUAUAGCAUUUGUUGUUGCUGCUCUGCUGGUGGCUGCAGUUGUAUCUUCUGUUGUGGUUUACUAUCGGCGCAAGAUCUCUGAACUAGAAAAAAAAAGACAAUUGAAGAAAAGAAAGUGGCAGACGGAGAUUCUGCCACUCUAGAGACUAAAACUGACCUACAGGAAGAUGAUAAGGUACAGUGGUGGUAUCAAGAUGACGGCAAUCUCAUUGCUGAAAUCAGCAGAGUGGGAGUGACACGUGAAGUGACACAUGAUGGUUUUGAUGAAAGAUUCAGAAGCAAACUGGUGCUAAAUGAUAAGACUGGAUCUCUCACCAUCAAUAACACCAUGAAUAUUCACUCUGGACUCUAUAUGCUACAAAUCAGCAGCAAAACCAGAAGAAUAAAAAAAAAAUUCAUUCUUACUGUCACAAUGAGGACAGUGUCAGUGAGGAAGGGAAAUUCUGUCACUCUCAAGACUGAUAUUGAAAUAAAGAGUGAAGAUGAGAUACUGUGGACAUUUGGAGCGGAAAACUGUCUCGUUGUUAAAGCUUAUUCAGGAAUGACUAUUGGUAAGAAAUUCCUAGACAGAGUGGAGCUGGACCAGACGAAUGGAUCUCUGACCAUCACAAACAUGACAAACACAGACUCUGGACAUUUUAAACUACAGAUCAUCAACAGCAAACAUACAACAUUCAGGAGAUUCAAAGUGAUUGUCAAAGGUUCCACAGGAGAACAACUGAAUGAUUCAAUGACUGAAGAGACUGGGCUGUUGAUGUAAGCCACGCCCACCAAUGUCAAUCACUGUGACAUCACCAACAUUUGAGCUCAACAACAUUUUUCUGAUUUUACAAAAGGGAUUAAUUUAGCAAGUGGAUGCACAUCCCACUUACUUUAUUAACAUAAUAAUAUAGUUGACACUGAAGACAGAAAUGUGUUAAACUGAGAUGUCCUACAGACAUCUAUCUCACACAAGCUACUUUCUUGGUUUAAAAAUAAUUUUAAAAAUCUAAAGAAUUAAAAAAAUAUAUUAUAAAGGUUUGCCUUCUUUUUAAUCAAUGUAUUCAUUCAAAUCUUUUCACAUAUGACAAAGGGGGGAAAUACUGCAUAAAACUGUUAGUUACUGUUUUAUGUCUUUUGUAGUUGCUGUGUUGCCUUCAUGUAAGAUAAGAGAAUGUAAAAGAAUCUCUAUUGUUAAGCAGUCAUUUUUCAUUGCAUGUACUUUUGUAUAAUAAACGCUGAUAAAAAAAAAUACCUCUAAUAUCCCACAA